rnacentral:rRNA from 1 species
UGGGGAAUAUUGGACAAUGGGCGGAAGCCUGAUCCAGCAACGCCGCGUGAGGGAUGACGGCCUUCGGGUUGUAAACCUCUUUCAGUACCGACGAAGCGAAAGUGACGGUAGGUACAGAAGAAGGACCGGCCAACUACGUGCCAGCAGCCGCGGUAAUACGUAGGGUCCGAGCGUUGUCCGGAAUUAUUGGGCGUAAAGGGCUCGUAGGCGGUUUGUCGCGUCGGGAGUGAAAACAGCGGGCUUAACUCGUUGCUUGCUUUCGAUACGGGGCAGACUAGAGGUAUGCAGGGGAGAAUGGAAUUCCUGGUGUAGCGGUGAAAUGCGCAGAUAUCAGGAGGAACACCGGUGGCGAAGGCGGUUCUCUGGGCAUUACCUGACGCUGAGGAGCGAAAGUGUGGGGAGCGAACAGGAUUAGAU